ACCCUUUUGUAGUUCAUGUGCUUGAUAAUUGGAGGUUCAUUUGCAUAUGUGAGAUCGUCUCCCUCAAACCUUGUUACCAGACAUGGGCAAAUACCCAUCUGACG